rnacentral:ncRNA from 1 species
GGGCCGGGACGACCCGCCCCUCAUCCCUUCAUCUUCCGGGACGGCCCGG